rnacentral:rRNA from 1 species
UACAGAGGUCUCAAGCGUUGUUCGGAUUCAUUGGGCGUAAAGGGUGUGUAGGUGGCGCGCUAAGUCGGGUGUGAAAAUUUCGGAGCUUAACUCCGAAACUGCAUUCGAUACUGGCGUGCUUGAGGACUGGGAGAGGAGACUGGAAUUCAUGGUGUAGCAGUGAAAUGCGUAGAGAUCAUGAGGAAGACCAGUGGCGAAGGCGGGUCUCUGGACAGUUCCUGACAGCUGAGACACGAAGGCCAGGGGAGCAAACGGG